GGAAGCAAAAGUCGUAACAAGGUUUCCGUAGGUGAACCUGCGGAAGGAUCAUUAUUGUAUAACCGAGGUGCGAGGGCUGUCGCUGACCCGAAAGGUCGUGCACGCCCGAGUGCCCUCACACACAUCCAUCUCACCCCUAUGUGCACCACCGCGUGGGUCCCCCUUUGGCUUGUUCGGAGGGGGGCUUACGUUUUCACACAAACUUUGUAUGCAGUGUAGAAUGUAUUUUUUGUUUUUGCGAUCACGCAAUCAAUACAACUUUCAACAACGGAUCUCUUGGCUCUU
rnacentral:misc_RNA from 1 species